rnacentral:rRNA from 1 species
AGAGUUUGAUCAUGGCUCAGGAUGAACGCUAGCGACAGGCCUAACACAUGCAAGUCGAGGGGUAACAUUUCAGCUUGCUGAAGAUGACGACCGGCGCACGGGUGAGUAACGCGUAUGCAACCUACCUUGUACAGGGGGAUAGCCCGGAGAAAUCCGGAUUAAUACCGCAUAAUAUGAUUGAUUCGCAUGGAUUAAUUAUUAAACUUUCGGGGGUACAAGAUGGGCGUGCGUAGCAUUAGUUAGUUGGUAAGGUAACGGCUUACCAAGACGAUGAUGCUUAGGGGGUCUGAGAGGAUAGUCCCCCACACUGGUACUGAGACACGGACCAGACUCCUACGGGAGGCAGCAGUGAGGAAUAUUGGUCAAUGGGCGCAAGCCUGAACCAGCCAUGUCGCGUGCAGGAUGACGGCCCUAUGGGUUGUAAACUGCUUUUUUACGGGAAUAAUUGUCUCUACGUGUAGGGAUUUGAAGGUACCGUAUGAAUAAGGAUCGGCUAACUCCGUGCCAGCAGCCGCGGUAAUACGGAGGAUUCGAGCGUUAUCCGGAUUUAUUGGGUUUAAAGGGUCCGUAGGCGGGCAAUUAAGUCAGUGGUGAAAUCCCAGAGCUCAACUCUGGAACUGCCAUUGAUACUGGUUGUCUUGAAUUUGGUUGAGUGGGCGGAAUACGUUAUGUAGCGGUGAAAUGCAUAGAUAUAACGUAGAACACCGAUUGGCGAAGGCAGCUCACUAAACUAAUAUUGACGCUGAUGGACGAAAGCGUGGGGGAGCGAACAGGAUUAGAUACCCUGGUAGUCCACGCCGUAAACGAUGAUUACUCGUUGUGCACGAUACACUGUGCGUGACUGAGCGAAAGCAUUAAGUAAUCCACCUGGGGAGUACGUUGGCAACAAUGAAACUCAAAGGAAUUGACGGGGGCCCGCACAAGCAGCGGAGCAUGUGGUUUAAUUCGAAGCAACGCGAAGAACCUUACCAAGUCUUGACAUCCUCAUGACCAUCAUAUAAUCAUGAUCUCCCUUCGGGGUAUGAGUGACAGGUGGUGCAUGGUUGUCGUCAGCUCGUGUCGUGAGAUGUUGGGUUAAGUCCCGCAACGAGCGCAACCCUUGUCUUUAGUUGUCAUCAGGUAAUGCUGGACCCUCUAGAGAGACUGCCGGUGAUAAACCGGAGGAAGGUGGGGAUGACGUCAAAUCAUCAUGCCCCUUAUGAUUUGGGCUACACACGUGCUACAAUGGUCGGUACAACAGGCAGUGAAAGAGUAAUCUGGAACGAAUCCUCUAAAGCCGAUCUCAGUUCGGAUUGUGGGCUGCAACUCGCCCACAUGAAGUUGGAGUUGCUAGUAAUCGUGAAUCAGAAUGUCGCGGUGAAUGCGUUCCCGGGUCUUGUACACACCGCCCGUCACACCAUGGAAGUUGGGGGCGCCCGAAGCCAGUGAUCCAACCGUAAGGAGGAAGCUUCGAAGGUGAAACCAAUGACUAGGGUGAAGUCGUAACAAGGUAACCGUA